CGCCUGUUUAUCAAAAACAUCGCUUCCUGUAAGUUUUCGAAGUAUGACCUGCCCGCUGAUUUAUUGAAGGGCCGCGGUAUCCUGACCGUGCAAAGGUAGCAUAAUCAUUAGUCUUUUAAUUGUAGACUGGUAUGAAUGGUUUGACGAGACAUUAACUGUCUUUAGUUUAGAUGUAUUAUUGAAUCUGGUGUUUCGGUAAAAAUACCUAAAUUUUUUUAUGGGACGAGAAGACCCUAUAGAGUUUUAUAUAACUUUUCUUUGAGCUGUUAGGUUCAUUUUUUUUAGCACUGUUGUAUUUUGUUGGGGUGAUGGGAAGAUAAGAUUAACUCUUCUUUUUUUUUGUACACUCAUUUGUGAUAUUUUGAUCCUUUAUUAUUGAUUAUAAGAUUAAAUUACCUUAGGGAUAA
rnacentral:rRNA from 1 species